AUCCUGUUUUUGGCUUGUCAGUUAUAAUAAGAUGAUGUAAGAGAAAAGAAAUAGUUUUCUCUCUGCUCUUUACAGUUGUUAGUUGGAAUGAACCCUUGUAACAAAAGAGAGAUUAACAAGAGAAAAACGUACAGAAGUUUAAUAACAUGUAUAUCUCAUGUACACAUAGGAGCUCCCAGAGAAAUGAGUAAAUCUCAAAGAAAUGGCUUUGAGUUCAGGCUUAGAUUUUAUCUCCAGGUGAAACAAAGAAAGAAUGGCAGAUUUAAAUCUAAAGUUACAUUUAAGUUGGUGCCACCUCUAUUAAUAUAAGCGUAUCGGUGAGUUAGAUCAUCUUUUUCUCUCUUGUAGAGAG
rnacentral:lncRNA from 1 species